AUGCUCAGUUGGCAGCAUACAUACAAAAAUUGGAUUGAUACAGAGAUUAACAUGGCCCCUGCAAAAGAAUGACAUGAAAUUUACUCAGAGGCGGUU
ensembl:snRNA U6 U6 spliceosomal RNA